AAACAUUCGCUCGAUUAUCGGGAUCGCUGUCGAUGCGCGGUCAGUGCGCCGCGCUCGCCUCGCCUCGCACUAUUUAUAUCGGAAAGAGUGAGCCGCGUUUCGACACUUCACGUAUGUAUACGACAUCGUCUACCACAUAUGCAAAGACAGCCAGUGUACAAAAACUAAGAAAGUGGAUUUGAUUCGCUAUAACUCUUUGAUUUACUGGAGGGCUAUGGUCAUUUGAAUGAAGCGAUAAAAUGGAAAGGGCCUAAUGGGAAUAGAAGAAAAGGACGACCUGUGAAACGAUGAAGUGAUGAUAUAUAGUCAUUGCUGGAAAAGAAUGGAUGAAAUGGAGCUAAGAACAAAGAAAAUUGGAUUAAGCUGGAGGAGGCCUAUACCCAAACAGGAGUUCCAAUCGAAGAAAAAGUUUGAUGUACGCAAAUCAAACAAACAAAAAUAAAGAUAAUAAUCUAAUAUAAAAAAGUGUAAAAUUGAAAAUAGAUUAAAAUGUAAAAAUAUAUACUUAAGAAUAUUUACAUGUAAUACUUAGGUGAUAGGAAAUAAAAGGCUUUAUUAUUAUUAUUCUA